UUACGGUCAAAUCACGCUGAAAACACCGGUUCUCGUUCGAUCACCGAAGUUAAGCAUCCAGGUCAGUAGAGCCAGGUCAGUACUUAGAUGGGGGACCGCUUGGGAACACCUGGUACUGUAAG